AUUGAACGCUGGCGGCAGGCCUAACACAUGCAAGUCGAGCGGAUGAAGGGAGCUUGCUCCUGGAUUCAGCGGCGGACGGGUGAGUAAUGCCUAGGAAUCUGCCUGGUAGUGGGGGAUAACGUCCGGAAACGGGCGCCAAUACCGCAUACGUCCUGAGGGAGAAAGUGGGGGAUCUUCGGACCUCACGCUAUCAGAUGAGCCUAGGUCGGAUUAGCUAGUUGGUGGGGUAAAGGCCUACCAAGGCGACGAUCCGUAACUGGUCUGAGAGGAUGAUCAGUCACACUGGAACUGAGACACGGUCCAGACUCCUACGGGAGGCAGCAGUGGGGAAUAUUGGACAAAGGGCGAAAGCCUGAUCCAGCCAUGCCGCGUGUGUGAAGAAGGUCUUCGGAUUGUAAAGCACUUUAAGUUGGGAGGAAGGGCAGUAAGUUAAUACCUUGCUGUUUUGACGUUACCAACAGAAUAAGCACCGGCUAACUUCGUG
rnacentral:rRNA from 1 species